AACCGACUAAACACAGCAAAAUUACAACCGAACCGUUCAUAUUCUUCACAACCAGAAACUAAACUCAGGUCCCAUAUUAGCAACUUCGUUACAUGAAGGUAGCAAGCAGGUAGGAAAAGCAAAAGGCAACUCAUGUCCCAACUUAGCAUGAAUCCUGGCGUCCGGAGGCACACCAUUUCACAUUUUAUUCUCUGCAUAGACAAGCAGCGGGGCCGUUCCACGACCGCAAAGGCCUAGGGAAGGAACCAUGGAGCGGAGAUGACGCUCUACUGGGUCUUGAACAUGUGGCGGAUCAGGUCGACAACACGGUUGCUGUAGCCCCACUCGUUGUCGUACCAGGAGACAAGCUUGACGAAGUUGUCGUUCAGAGCAAUUCCAGCCUUGGCGUCGAAGAUGCUCGACCUAAGUGGAAACAAUGAAACAGGAAAAAAAAUGAAUAACACAGCACAGGAACAAAACAACAUUCACUAGAAUUCAUCGUAGCACUAUCGUGGUGUGCCCUAGAAUAUCCACUGGUUCCUAGAACUUGGAGGACCCAAAGCAAAUUUCGUGUACCUGCUGUCACCAGUGAAGUCAGUGGAAACCAAAUCCUCAUCCGUGUAACCCAUGAUACCCUUGAGUGGCCCCUCAGACGCAGCCCUGUAAAACAAUAACAAUCAAAUUAACAACAUUUCACGAAUCCCCAACCAAGAAGAAUGCAAGAAACAUGGACUCAGGAACCUCUCCAUGUCAAACAUGGCAACAGAUUAUCAUUCCAGACAAGAAAUGUAAAUACAUUGAUAAAUUAAUUUAAAACAAUAAACAAGAGACUUACUUGAUAGCCUUCUUAAUGUCCUCAUAGGAGGCACCCUUCUGGAGUCUAACGGUGAGGUCAACAACUGACACAUCCACGGUGGGAACACGGAAGGACAUACCAGUGAGCUUGCCGUUCAAUUCAGGAAGAACCUUACCAACAGCCUGCAGUACAUUAAUAUACAAGUUAGAUGCAGAAUCACAAUUAAAUUUAUAAGAAUAUAGAAUGGUUGCCAACUUUACACUACGCAGAACAUAAGUCAAUAAUGAAGCCUUUUAACACAUGAUUCCAAGGUAUUUGCAUGCUCAUUUAUGUGAUUUAGGCUCAGAUACAUAAAUUAGUUCACAAAGCUAAGUAUAAACCCAAAACAGAGAAAUAAGCUAUCAAGUUUCUAUCACAAAUUAUCAGCUAGCCUAGCAGGUCAAAACAGUUCGCACAAACAAAAGACUACAGAAGAACUAGGAAUUACAGGCUCACUGUAUACAACAUUGUGAGUUUGUCAUAUACCUUGGCAGCACCAGUGCUGCUGGGAAUGAUGUUAAAGCUGGCAGCCCUUCCACCUCUCCAGUCCUUGGCUGAGGGUCCAUCAACAGUCUUCUGGGUGGCUGAGAGACAAGUAUCAUUCUGUCAUUACUACAAGUAUCUUCUCAAUCCUAGGAGGAACAAUGGCUCAACAGACAACUCACCAGUGAUGGCAUGAACAGUGGUCAUCAAACCCUCAAUAAUACCAAAGUUGUCAUUAAUAACCUGUUUUAUGAAGUUAGACAUCAUUAAUAACCCAUCUACAUCAGAAGAGCAGAAACAACUAAAAAAUGGCUCAAAGAAGAGACAACACACCUUAGCGAGGGGAGCAAGGCAAUUUGUGGUGCAGCUAGCAUUGGAGACAAUGUUAAUAUCUGAGGUGUACUUGUCCUCAUUGACACCAACAACAAACAUAGGUGCAUCUUUGCUUGGGGCAGAGAUAAUAACCUUCUUGGCACCACCCUAUUAUUCAAAAGCAAAAUGCAUGUGUUAGAAUCAUCCAGUUGAAACUUCGAGAAGAAUGUUGCGCUUAUGUGGAACAGGGUAAGUUACACAGCUCACAAUAAUCUACAUGCAAAAAGCACAGAUACGGUGUAGACAGUACAUGCAUGUAUUAGAUCCUAAUCAUGACGACACUACCUUGUUUAGCUUCCCAGAUGUAUAGAAGAGUCCAAUAACUCUGCUUAUAACAAAACUAAUGGACAUUAAACAAACUGGUAACACUGGACAGUCUUUAUAGAAUAGAAGAGUGUAUUUCAAAUCUCUCAGGUUAUUAAAGCAUAUCAGAAUCAAAUGACCAAUUCAAUUGGAAGGAAGAAGCUACCACUAAACACAGCUGCGAAGAAAAUUUACUACUGAAAAUUAAGACACCAUUUUUUAAGCCCAACAACUAAGUGGACCAUCACUUAAUUUGUUCCCCGCAUGUAUACAAUCAUACCAAAUUCAUGCAUUCAGGAACUAGGGAGAACAAAAUACAUGAACUGCAUGCAUUCUAACCAGCAAUAGGAUUAUGUGGCAGCAAUUAUACCUUCAAGUGAGCCGCAGCCUUGUCCUUGUCAGUGAAGACACCAGUGGACUCCACGACAUACUCGGCGCCAGCCUCAGCCCACGGGAUCUCCUCAGGGUUCCUUUUAUAUUACAGCAGUUUAAACAUUAGUUCACAGCGUGAACACAGAAGCUCAAUCCAUCACUGAAAGCAGUAACAGGGGAUGUACCUGAUGCCAAAGACGGUGACCGGCUUCUCGCUGAAGAGAAGGGUCUUGGUGUCCUUGAUCUUGAUGUCGCUGUGCUUCCACUGGCCGUGCACGGUGUCGUACUUGAACAUAUAGGUCUGCCCGAGACAGGAAGCGCAUAAAUCAUGAGCACAGCACUCAAAAUUCACAAUUCAGUACGCUAGCAAAAACUAAACACAGAGCUAAGCACUAAAUCUCAAGGUGUACAUGCCCACAAGACUAAGCACCAAGCGAAGCACUAAAUCUGAAGCUGUAGACACCCACUGACAGGAUAAAUAAAAUAUUAUAAUUAAGCAACAUGACCAGCAAAUCCCCCCAGAUCCAUGGAACCCCAGUAAAGAAUUGGAGUCAAACAACUCCGGAAGCCCACGAUUAACAGCAUCAAGCACGCUUCCUCACGAAUCGGCGCUGAACCCACCACAAAACCCCCCAUAAACCACCAGAUCUACGCACGACAGCGAACGAAACCAACAGAUCGAGGCGCGUACCAUGUAUUCGGUGGUGAUGAAGGGGUCGUUGACGGCGACGAGCUCGACAUCCUCGCUCUGGAGGGCGACCCUGGCAACAAGCCUGCCGAUUCUUCCGAAACCUAAGCCAAAUCACACAAACAAAAACCAACUCAGAUCAGUCCAGAUUCAACCACGCAGAGACCAAACAAGCACGUAGAGUUACGCUGGCGGGUACAAACUCACCGUUGAUUCCGAUCUUAAUCUUGCCUGCGCAUCCGCAAAUCCACCCAACAAAAACGAGAAAAGAAAACAAGUCAGCAAAGCCCGUCCAGGCUAGAUCCGAGUACGAAGCAUAAGAGAACAGCAAUUAGACGGGGAGAUCCGGGUCAGGAGCGAGCAAUUACCCAUGGCGAGAGGGGGUGCUGCGAGGCCGACGACGACGAGACGGGGAGGAGGGUGUGAGGAGAUGCGAGAGGAGGAGCAGGGAAGUGUCUAGAAGCGGAUAGGGUGAGGUGGGG
rnacentral:lncRNA from 1 species